rnacentral:rRNA from 1 species
AUUGAACGCUAGCGGGAUGCUUUACACAUGCAAGUCGAACGAGUGGCGGACGGGUGAGUAAUAUAUCGGAACGUGCCCAGUAGCGGGGGAUAACUACUCGAAAGAGUGGCUAAUACCGCAUACUAUCGGAACGGCCGAUAUCGGAGUAGCUAGUCGGUGGGGUAAAGGCUCACCAAGGCAACGAUCCGUAGCUGGUUUGGAAGGACGAACAGCCACACUGGGACUGGGAAAAGGCCCAGACUCCUCCGGUAGGCAGCAGUGGGGAAUGUUGGGCAAUGGGGUAAACCCUGGUCCAGCCAUCCCGCGUGUAUGAGAAGGCCUUCGGGUUGUAAAGUACUUUUGGCAGACAAGCGGUAUCUACAGAAUAAGCACCGGCUAACUACGUGCCAGCCACCGCGGUAAUAC